rnacentral:rRNA from 1 species
UCGCAAGACCUUGCGCUGAUUGAGCGGCCGAUAUCAGAUUAGCUAGUUGGUGAGGUAAAGGCUCACCAAGGCGACGAUCUGUAGCGGGUCUGAGAGGAUGAUCCGCCACACUGGAACUGAGACACGGUCCAGACUCCUACGGGAGGCAGCAGUGGGGAAUUUUGGACAAUGGGCGCAAGCCUGAUCCAGCCAUGCCGCGUGAGUGAAGAAGGCCUUCGGGUUGUAAAGCUCUUUCGGCCGGGAAGAAAUCGCACAGGUUAAUACCCUGUGUGGAUGACGGUACCGGAAUAAGAAGCACCGGCUAACUACGUG